CCCACACCUCCAGGAGGUCGGUAAGAACUCUCUGAAGCUGUGGUGUCAGAUCCUUUCUCAUUUCCUGUUUGCUGUUUGGACAGGCCUGGCAGCUGUGGCGACUGAAUCUAAGAAGAAAGGCUGAUAAUGCUCUGGCUGGUUUCAUAAUAGGACUUUUCAAGCCACCACCAAAGAAGAGAAAGAAAUUAACAUAAUAACUCUCCGGGUGGUUCCCUGUUUACAAAGUAAGUUUAACUUUUACUUUGUUUUCCUUCAGAGCCCUAAAUUCAACUCCUACUUUAUUCCAUAUUUCCAUUUUCAGUCAUCCUUGAUGCCUGAAAUGAUUUAGUUGAUGCCAUAUUGAUUUCGUUCUUGUUUGCUUCCUCAAAAUGUUUCUCAUUUUUCUGUCCCCUUGGCUCAUUUCUAAGUGUGUUUUCUAAUGUCCAUAUCCUGCACAAUUGCCAGCAGCACCAUGACCUAGGGAGGACCCUCAUUAUGAACUGCAUUCUACAGGAAAAAAGACGCACGUCCCCUUCAAAUGAUGUGGCUUGCCCCAUGGAAAACAGAGUUGGUGUCUGAGUCAGGUUUGCUUCCCCAGAGCUCCAGGGCCAUUGCUAUUGUCCUCUUUCCUGCACGCUUCCUCAUUUGCAAAACAAUGUGAAUUCUGUUCUUGCCCUUAUAAUUAAAGGAAAAAUGAGGAUGAUCAAGAGUGGUUGCUUCAGGGACCUUCCACACUGCUAAGGCCACCUCUAUUUUUCCAGACUCCAGGUAUAUUUUAAAAUGAAGACAUGUCAAAAUAGGUUUCUGUUGUAGUUAAAAUGUUUACACCUAUUAGCAAUUAUAUUUGUAUGAGAGUUGAAGGCUCUUCCAACACUGUCAGUGUACUUCUGUGACAGUAUGUAUCUAAACUCAUUUGGAAAUAAACAAUAAUUGUCUAAUUUUGGCCCUUAAUUGAGGUCCUAGCUUAAUGCCCUCUUUUCUCAUAAAGGAAUGCCCUUACAUGAACAUUAGGACUUUAGAGGACAGCAGUGGUGGCAACAGUGGAGUUGACUGCAGCUGGGGCAAAGGUAGCAGGUUAAUACCAGCUAACACCUCCAGAGCAUUUGCCAUGUGCCAGGGACAAUGCUAAGUAUUUUAUGUGUGCUAACACUAUGCUUUCUUAGGCAGGUACUAUUAUUAUCUGCUUUUUUUAACAGAUGAAGAAACCGAGCCACACAGAGGUUAAAUAACUUGCCCAAGGGUGCACAACUACUAGUAGUAUUGAGUCUAUACGCUUAAGUAUUGUGCUAUUCCAUUUCUUACUGAAUACAAAGCAAAAAAACAUAAGGAUCAGAGGAGGAGUGUGAGUGUCCUCAUACUCACAGCAAAAGGAGGUCAGUGGGUGUGUGUGGUGGUGGGAGGGGACUUACAAUAUCAAUAAUGACACUAGGUGGGGGCUCAGUAGCUCAUGCCAUUUUGAUUAUCUACCAAUGUGUGGGUGUCCCCAGGCUGAAGGAAUUGGGUUAACAAGGUUUAUAUCUGCACUUACAUUCUUUCCCCAAAAAUGUGUCCAAAAUUGAAAGUGCCAUUUUUCAAUGACACAUAGAAUCUGGGCAGUAGCACAGGACCCUGUGUUCAGAAUGACCAGAUGCUUAGACGAAUGAUCUGUUGCCGCCAUCUUGAAAAUCUCAAUACUAUUUGAACAAAUCUCAAUAAUAUUUGAACAUUUUGCACUGGGCCCUGCAAAUUAUGUACCUGGUCCUGUGUGGAAUUCUGGGCAAUUUGUACACACUAGUAACUCCAAUCUGCCGGGGGAAACAAGGUUCUAUCUCCCUGUGAUUCCUGUGGAACUGCAGUGCUAUAAAUCUGCAGUUGCCUGUUAGUGGAUUUGCAUUUUACUGCAAUGUAAUACUUUUCCUCACAGGGAAAAGCAGUCUACUCUCACUAAUAGGGGUUUUAAUGAUGCUCUGCCAAGGUCCACGUGCAUAGCCUCAAGCAAAAAGGCUCAGGACAGGCUCUGAAUUCCACAGCAGGGUUAACUACAAGGGAGCUUCUUUGCAGUAUGAUAAAACGCGGUUAACCUCAGCUGGAUUUGCAGCUAGCCCCAAGGAGCACUCCUCAGGAGCAACACAGGUCUAUGUAUAACAUUUCAGCUCUGGUCCACCCAGAAACGUGCACUUCCCAUCCCACGGUGUUUGCAUAAUUUAGGCAUGCUAUAGUUAAGAUUUGCCAAAACUUGUAGAGAAAAAUCAAACUGUCUCAGUACAAGGAAACCAAACUGCUAAAUCCUCUAUUUCCUCUCUCCACGCUCCAGCAGUUUGGCAGUAGAAUAAAUGAUUGCUCACCAGUGGCAAGUUUCCAUGGAGUCGGUAGCUCCUAAUAUCUUUUCUGAAGGGACGGGCAGUGAGCUGAUUUUCUCCACCAGGGAAGUAAUGAUCCUAAUGAGCAGAAACUAGGAGAGAAAAAAAGUCAAAUUCUCAAAGAAGACAAAAAGGGAAUUUCUCACCUCUAUCCGUCAGAGGAGUCAGAGCUUUCCCAUUCAAGGAGACCUGUCGGAUUGCACUGAAUUAAUCAUGAUAGCUAACAUCUUCUAGCAUUUACUAUGCCCUAGAUACCCUUGUAAGGGCUUUACACAUGUCAACUUAGUUAAUCCUCACAAGAACCCAAUGAGGUAUUAUUAUUAUCUCCAUUUUAGACGUGAAGGACCCAAGGCACAGAGAGGGUAAGCAGUUAAGUCAGGAGAGCAGCUGCCUGGCUGUGAGAGCCACAGGUUUAUCCAGGACAAUAACAAGCAGUGAUGAGUUCCCAGCGGAGCCUGGCUGGGUGUGCAGCUGCUAGACCUCGUACUGUUUGUCCUUACAAUAAAUCCCCAUUAAUGAGGGAAGCACGAUUGGUCUCCCUUGCUCUUGCAACCUGAAAGAGCCUAUAGAAUACAGAUGCCAUUGUGAAUGCUUUUGUAAUUUGGAGAUUCCUUUUUUUUUUUUUUUAAUCAACGGAAUAAUCAGCCUCUUCAUGUAUCCAUAGGGAAUUCAGGAGAGGAUUGAAGAAGCGGUUCCUGUUUUUGAGGCAUUUGCAAUCAUUGCUGGAGAGACAGAACCAACAGAUGGGGAACAAUGGUCAGGGACUCCAGGCCUGAUUUAAGCCAAUGCCGCCCUGUGGUCUUUACCCACGAAUGGUGUGGAAAAUGAGAGCAGGGAAGAGGAUUUACUCACUGGCUGUGGAGUUAGGUCAGAAGGGGGAUGGAAAGAAGGAACCGGAUGGCUUUGGGGACAUUUCUUAAUCUUUAGGCUUCACCUUCCUUAACUGAAAAUAAAGCCAUAAGUUACCUCCAGAACUCUUUCAGCCUUAACAUUCAAUGAAUCUCGAUCUUUUCUGUAAAGCUAGAUUUUUAUGUGUGGUAUUUGCUAAAAGUUGGGGCGCACCCUUACUUGAUCUGGCCCAGACUAUAGAUCACAUGAAGAUCACAUUAAAUCAGGUCGAAAGACUUUUCUGACUUCAAAUUAGCGAAUAUGCAUAUGUGCUGAACUUUAGUCUUUUCCUUUUCUUGAACAUUCAGUUUAAUAAUUGUCUCUGCCAUUUUACACAUUUAUUUUUCUUGGCUAUUUAUAUUUUCCUUUUGGGGAGGUCAAAUAUAAAAAUAGGAUAUACAUGGACUGUAG
rnacentral:lncRNA from 1 species